rnacentral:lncRNA from 1 species
ACCAAGAAAGUACAUACACAUACAUAUAGAAUAAAAAAUGGAAAUUCACCUCUCAAAUUGUACUUUCAAAACAAAAUAAACUUACCUAGAAGCCUUUCUAUCAUCACCAUACGCAAACCUACAAGAAAAAUCAAGAAAUCCCACUAUAACUCAAGAAACCAUAAUGGGUCUUUGCAAGAUUCCACAUUUUUCCAAGAUUUCUUGGUAUAAAUGUAAU